rnacentral:lncRNA from 1 species
CGGGGCCAGACGGAGUCCUGGCCCUUGCAGGCUGUUAGAAAGCCUGAGUUGGUGGGAGCCAUGGCCGAGGGUGACAUGAGCUUCGGGCUGCGGUGUGGACACAGAUUCUAAGCAAGCAGAGGGACCAGAUGGGAGACACCUGGAUCACGUAACCAAGAAAGACAAAAUGAGGCUUAGACUGGGGGUGCCAGGAGAGGCAGGGAGAAGAAGGUGGGGUCCAGAUCUAUCUUGAAGGUGAACUUAGCGGGGAUUUGCUGAUGGACUGAUCGGACGUUGCCGAGAUAAAAUACCUGACACCCAAAGUUAAAGGAGGAAGGGUUUAUUUGGCUUACAGUUCAUAGAGGUUUCAGUCCAUCAUCAGCUGGCCCCAUGGCAGGGCGGCAGAGGGCCAACCAUUCAUGGCAGCUGAAGAUGGCAAAAACGAGUGACCUUAACAGCGUCUUUCUUUUAUCCCUUUUAUCCCCCAGAUGACCAGGAUUAAGGCAGUGCUAAAUCAAUCAGUCACGUGUAGUGGUUUAGUAAUCACACACCCUUCAUCCCAGCACCACACGGCCCAGAUUCAGCCACCGCUGAAAAAGACUGCCUGAGGCUUUGUGGGGGACGUUAGACACAAGCCGUAACAGCCGGCCUCAUCGAUGUUUUGUUGGCCCAAGAAGCUGGAAGGUGUGACCAGAACUACAGUGAGUGCUGCUGCGAGUGCCAUCCAACGGAAAGGCUCACGAAAACCCCACGGCGAGUCCUCGUCCACCUUAUUCACUGGAUCUGGCCGGGUGUGAUGUCUGAACUGCGAAAUGACUGUGAAAGGUAAGUGUUUUGAAUCGAGUCAGGACAUUGGGGCCAA